UGGGGUUUCGCCAGCCUGGGGCAGGCUUUAGGGAUAAAUGUGGGUAGUCAGGCUGUGGGGGUCCGUCUGUGGGCAGUGUCAAAAGCCAAGCUGUUUUGAAACUUCAUGCAAACCGGUGGGUGCUGCAGAAUUGGCCUCUUCCAGCCACAGCAGUAAUCCUGUUACGUUCUCUCUGUGAGUCUGGGAAACAUACAGACACUGGUUGAAACUUCAGCUUUGUCAUUUACCAGCUGUGCUAUCACAGGCUGGUCUGAAACUCCUGGGCUCAAGCAGUUCUCCCACAUUGGCUUCCCAAAGUGCUGGGAUUACAGGUCUGAACCACCGAACCGGGCCACAGAGUGGCAAUGUGGUUGGCAUGACCCAGUCACAGCACCCCGGGACUCUUGUCCAGCAUUGGCGCUCUAUAUGCAGAGCCCUUUCACUCAGCCUGGCAGCAUCUGAUCAGCGUCGAAGCCCAGUGGCUUGAGGAAUAAAUAUAAACAGUGCAGAGACUAAAAGCAGAGCUCUGGUCCAGCACAUCUACUCCCAAGCUCUGCCACCCUGGACAAGCUCCUUCCCCUCUCUGAGCCUCAGUCUCCUCCCUGUAAUACUGUAAGAACCCUGUCCACAGUUGUGUGCCGAUAUACUGAAUGUAAAGCACCUAAAAGCCUGCCAGGACGUGGCAGGCACUCAAGAAGCAUUACUAGAUUCAUUUCACACAUGGAGAAACUGAGUCCCAGAGUGGGAAAGUGACUCAGGCAAAGAUUCCCUCACAGAACUGGGGAUAAAAAUCCAGAUCUUCAAGCUCCCAGUCAGUGCCUAAUUACUACUUUCUCAUUCUUGGAAUUUGUAAUUAUUUCAUGACAAGUGUGCUUUUGGCUGCUGGAGGGACAGAGCUUCAGAGGUUGUGAGCCUCCCCUGGCUCAGCCUGACCCAGAACCAGCUCACUCAUGAAACUACCCUCUCUUGAAGAGAAUAGGAGUUGUGGGGAGGAAGAACAUAACCCAGAGGCCAGAGAACGUGGAGGCCAGGGUUGGUGUAACUGUGUAGGUAAGAGCAGCAGCUUCGUGAUCAGCCAGACCUGCAUUUAAAUCCUUCUCUGCCACUUCUUAGCUGUGUGACCAGCUACAUGACACCACCUCCCUGAGCCUCAGGUUUUCAUCUGUAAACUUUCAAUGCUACCUCUCCCAUAGGGUUGUUGUAGGAAUUAAAUAAGACAACAGAGGUAGAGUACCUGCUCCCAACUGGCAGCCCUUAUAAUUUCAUGAAGAGGAAGCAAAAGGGGAGCCAGCUACCUUUUUUUUUUUUUUUUUGAGACAGAGCCUCUUUCUGUCACUCA
rnacentral:lncRNA from 1 species